UACGUAGGGUGCGAGCGUUGUCCGGAAUUACUGGGCGUAAAGAGCUCGUAGGUGGUUUGUCGCGUUGUUCGUGAAAACCGGGGGCUUAACCCUCGGCGUGCGGGCGAUACGGGCAGACUUGAGUACUGCAGGGGAGACUGGAAUUCCUGGUGUAGCGGUGGAAUGCGCAGAUAUCAGGAGGAACACCGGUGGCGAAGGCGGGUCUCUGGGCAGUAACUGACGCUGGAGGAGCGAAAGCCGUGGGGAGCGAACAGG
rnacentral:rRNA from 1 species